AUCAGACUAACUAUAAAUCCAUUAGAAAGAACACGCUCCUUUCCUGCGGUCAUAAAAUCUGCUUACUAGUCUCACCUUUAGAUAAGGUGUUGGUGUGUCUGAACCUGGGACAGAAGGGUUGGGAAGAUGGACACCACAAUGAUACUAUCUUGGGUGAUGCUGUUAGUGCUUGCAGGUAAUUCUGAAAUAACAACAGCAAGAACAGCAACUGCUGCCUUUACAACCCCAACUGAUCAU